rnacentral:rRNA from 1 species
GUUAUUGUUUAUUUGAUACAACAAAUGGAUAACUGUAGAAAAACUAGAGCUAAUACAUGCUUUAAUCGUAAGAUUGUAUUUAUUAGAUAUUCUGAAUUGGUGAAUCAUAAUAACUUCGCAAAUCUCGUUUAUGACGAGAUAAAUCAUCCAAGUUUCUGCCCUAUCAUGCUUUCGAUGGUAGUGUAUUGGACUACCAUGGCUCUCACGGGUAACAGGGAAUUAGGGUUCGAUUCUGGAGAAGGAGCCUGAGAAACGGCUACUACAUCUACGGAAGGCAGCAGGCGCGUAAAUUACCCAAUCCUGACUCAGGGAGGUGGUGACAAGAUAUAACGACGCGGUUAUUAUCGCGAUUGUAGUGAGGGUAUUCUAAACAGAACCUAUAGUACGAUUAGAGGGCAAGUCUGGUGCCAGCAGCCGCGGUAAUUCCAGCUCUAAUAGCGUAUAUUAAAGUUGCUGCACUUAAAAAGCUCGUAGUUGGAUUUCAAGGAUUGUAGAACCUCCACGGGGAUACAUCCUACUAGUCUUCGGACUGUUACUGUGAGAAAAUUAGAGUGUUUCAAGCAGGCUUUCGCAAGAAUACAUUAGCAUGGAAUAACGAAUGUAUUUAGAAUCUUGGUUAAUUCUAAAUUACGAUUAAUAGAGACAGUUGGGGGCAUUAGUAUUUAAUUGUCAGAGGUGAAAUUCUUGGAUUUGUUAAAGACUAACGUAUGCGAAAGCAUUUG